UAUUAUUAUUACUACUGUUAUUCUUAAUAUAAUUAUAAACCUGUACAUUUUGCAAAACGUUUUUCAGAACAGUUUGAAAAGUUAACUUUACGUUUACAUGUAUGUAAUCUUUGGCUGGCGAGCUAAUUGUUAAUGACUGCAACACUGGUUACGGUGGUUUGCCUCGUAAAAACUGGAGAAAUCGACACUUAAUGUUGCAUUGUCAGCAAAAUACGAUAAAAAUGCAUUUUGCUCAAAGUUCAGUCUAUGUUCUUGAUGAACGGAAAAUUCCCAAUACUUUAAGACGAUAUUUAACCUAAAUUAAGAUCUUUUAAGUUUCGUUUUGUUGUUUGUAAUAUAUUUUAUAAAUUGUAUUCAUCCAUCCAUUCAUUUCCUAACGAAUGUUAACGUAGUGUUUAUUUAACUUUUAAUUAUUUUCUUUUUUGGGGGGUGGGCGCGACUUUUUAAUGAAAAUGAAACAAACAUAUUCCUAUUCGGUUAAGAAGUGAACAUUAAGUCUUCAAAUGAGAAAGUAAUCUAGGUAUAAGCUUCAAAAUUCUACACCACUUUAUAAUAAAUUAUGUUUUCUUAUUUAGCCAGUGAAGUAGUGUCAAAUGAUGUUGCUUUUAAGAAAGCUGAGAAAUUAAAAUCCUUUGCCCAAAUUGAAUGUUCAGAAUUUGGUGCAUUAGUUAACAAGUCUAAAUCUUCCUUCAUUUUCUUACUACAUUUGUGAAAGAUCUUUUUCUUUCUCUUUGGUAAGCCACAUUUAAGUAUUAUAAAUUAGUUUUUAAAUCUUGGAUGUGUACCUACAUUAUUUAUAUUGGCUAAUAACCUCUUCUUAAUGUAAAAAAAGAAAUCUUUUUAACUGUGAUCUAUCAAAUUAUAGACCAAUUUUCUAAUCUUUCUUGUAUUUCUGAAAUUUAGAGAAAGGUGUAGGUAAGUGGUUCUCUAUAUUUUUGCAAAUAAAAGUAAUCUCUUGUAACAUUUUCACCCAGGUACUGCUUUAGUCAAAGUAUUCAAUGAUUUGCACUCCACUGACGAAGGUUGCAUUUUUAGGCCCAUAGUAUUACAUCUACAGUAAGUGCCACAUUUGAUACUAUAGACCAUGAUAUUCAUCUGAUCAACUACAUGAACCAUCUCAGUGUUCUAAAAUAGAGGUUUACCUGUUAGAAAGUAGAUUCCUUGAAAUUUUCAUUUGUUGAAUUCUAAAAAAACAGAAGUGCUAGUCAUUGGUUCGAAAGCUGCUAAAAAUGUCAGUCUGAAUGUAACAUGUCUGUUGAUGGCACCCCUAUCACUCACAAUGCACUAAUUCUAAACUUGGAUAUAUCUACAAUGAAAAUGAUGAUCUUUCAUUUGAUACACAUACUAAACAUGUAUCUAGAGUAGUCUUCAUUUUACUUAAGAAAUAUUGCAAAACUUAGAUUAUGUUAGCAUUCCAUGAUGCUGAAUAACUUAUCUGUGCUUUUAUUACUUCUACAUGGAUCACUAUAAGGCUUUGUGGCUGAUAACAGACUUAAUUUAGUUCAAAAUACAGCGGCUGAAGAGCUUACAAGAGCCAGGAAAUAUGAACAGUAUAUAUCACCCCUGUUUUGCUUUCUUUACAUUUUCUUUCUGCAAAUUUUGUAUUUUGUAUUGAAUUAUUAGGUACUGGUGAUCACAUGUAUCACUUUGCAUAGUUAAGGAUCUCAAUAUUUGAGUUACCUUUUAAUUCCUUACAAUCACUCUUACAGGAAGUGGAAUAUCUUGUUGUCUCUAGAAUAAAAAAAAAAGCUGUAGCUGGAAAUAAAACAGUAGUUUGUAAAGCACACUGUUUUAGGAACAACCCUGCCAAAGUGGUUUGAGAUUCUGACAGUCUGUCAGCCUUCAAAUCUAGGAUAAAAAUAUAUUUGCUUAGUCAGUCCAAUAAGUAAAAUUUACAAUGAAUCUGCAUUCCUAUUUGUCCUUUGUCUUUUCUUUUUAAACUUGCUAUGUUAUUUUUAAUUUGUGUAAAACAAAACAGACCAUUUUUUAUUUUGUUCAAUUAUAAUCUGGUACUGACACCAAGAUUUUUGUCUCCAGGUUUAUGGCCUGGAAAUAGUUAAAGCUGCUUUGUGACAAUACUAAUUGUAAAAUGCACAAAAUAAUUCAAAUUUGAUUGCUUGAUUAAAACAGUUAUUUAGUAUUGUGAGUGAUUACUGUAGAUACAGAAUUUAAACUUGCUAAAGCUAUCCUGCUUUUUUGUCAUUUUUAUAGAAACACAUAACUAUUCAAUUGGGAGAGUCAGUACCACUGCUGACUCAAUGCAACAGAUGUUGCACCUUGUUCCAUUGUCCUUUUUGUAGUGGUAAUGUUUUUAAGCCCUCCAAACUGGAAAAAUUAAAAAAGCAUUUGAAGAGUCAUUUCAAGAAGGCAGUUCUCCAUGAAGUAACAUGACAAAACGAAUAUCUUCAGGCACAUGGAUACUAAUUAAAAACAAGAAUCUUCCACAGCAGUUGGUUGGGUCAGUGGAUUGUGGAGUAUUCAUGUUGAUGGUGAGAAAAUCAAAGAAACUUAUUUUUUAGUAUGCUCUGCACCUUGUCUUGGAUGC